GCUGUUCCCACUGAAUGCACCCUUAGCCCUGUGCUCCACAAGGGGCCUGCAAAAUGCAGGAUCUCACUAAGCUUAAAGAAAACCAGGAAUUUCAGAGACGAACAAGAAAGAGGAGUGCUCCUCUGAAGUGAAUCAGUCCCUGCAAUCCAGCACAUAUUCGACGAGACACACACAGAGGGAAGACAGUGUGAGGAUGCAGGGAGAAGCUGACCAUCUACCAGACAAGCACAGAGGACUCAGAGGAAGCCGAUCCUGCCGACACCCGGACCUCAGACUUCCAGCCUCCAGAACGUAAGGAAAAUGAGAAACAGAGAACCUAAGCAAGUUUUAAAUUGGAGAAGUUGACAGAAAAAAGAUGCAAGAACAUCAUAAAAUAUUUUAUCAAAAUUCUUCAAUUUUCAGAUAAACUGAGGUCAAAGAGCAUAAGCGUCUUGAUUAUUUUAACACAGCUCAGUAAAGACAGUGUGAGGGUGUAAAUCCAUGUCUUUUGAGUUGAGGGGCCAUUGCCUUUUCUUGUAUAUUAUGCUGAAUUUAAAGCACAGAGCCUACAUUUGGGAAUGGUUUAAAGGAGUGCAUUUCAAACUUUUUUUGGAUCAUGAUCCAUAUUAUUCAUCAUAUAUUACAUCUGCACCCAUAUAUAAUACAAAAAUAUAUAAAUAUAUAACCAAAGCAAAAGUUUUAUGAAGCAAUACUUACUACACAUGACACAUUCUAAUAUUUUUAUUUGUUUUAUAUUCUGUUUAGUUUAAAAAUAUUCUGGGCACAUCUAUUUCUGGCAAAGGUAGAAUAGCUUGUUUUGACCAACCUCCCACUGAGAAAGAACAAAGAAAUGGAAAAAAUAUUUUUAAGAAAUUUAUUUGCCAGCAUUAGAGAUACCAAAGCAGUGAAAGCUUAGUGGCCAAAAUCCAAGAGAGAAGGGAACCCCCCAAAAACGAGCCCUAUGUUUGCUGCUCCCUUUGAGGCAAUAUUAUAAUUAUUCUAAAAGUGAAAAUAGCAAAUAAGAGCCUGAGAAGCUGAGCAGAACUUUUGGCAUCUCUAUGAGGCAGGGGCAAAAAUUGAUAUUCAGUAAUCACCAAGGAAAUAGGGCCACAGAAAACACCCCAGACUUUCAGGUGAGAUCUUCAAAUACUGUACCCUAGAAUACAAGUGAAUCAGAAAUAGACCAGCUCUCACAAGUGCUAAAGAUCAAUUUCAAAUCAACUCAGUCUCAAAUUGUUUGAAAGUAAUCUGUGUCCACCCUGACUGCUUGCCUUAAGCAUAAGUAAACUGAAGAUAACAUAUUGAAUCUCAAAACAUGUUUUAUACAAAAUAUGGACAUUCAAUUAAAAAUGAUCUGGCAUACAAAAAUACAAGAAUAGACCAGAAACCAAGAAGAUAAAAAAAUUACACAAUAGAAACAUUCCCAAAGGAGACCCAGAUACUGAAAUGAUCAGAAUUGGAUUUUAAACUAUGAUUUGCACAUUCAAGAAGUUUAAAAACAGGAUGAAAAAUAGGCCAGAGAAAUGCAAACUACAAAG
rnacentral:lncRNA from 1 species